UACGUAGGGUGCGAGCGUUAAUCGGAAUUACUGGGCGUAAAGCGUGCGCAGGCGGCUUUGCAAGACAGAUGUGAAAUCCCCGGGCUCAACCAGGGAACUGCAUUUGUGACUGCAAGGCUAGAGUACGGCAGAGGGGGAUGGAAUUCCGCGUGUAGCAGUGAAAUGCGUAGAUAUGCGGAGGAACACCAAUGGCGAAGGCAAUCCCCUGGGCCUGUACUGACGCUCAUGCACGAAAGCGUGGGGAGCAAACAGG
rnacentral:rRNA from 1 species